GGGGUUGUGGCUUAGUGAGUGAUAGAGCACUCAUCUAGCAAGUGUGAGGCUCUGGGUUCGAUCCUCAGCACCA
rnacentral:tRNA from 1 species